UCUUUCAGAGUCCGAGUUGUAAUUUGCAGAGGGCGCUUUGGCUUUGGCAGCGGUCCAAGUUCCUUGGAACAGGACGUCACAGAGGGUGAGAAUCCCGUACGUGGUCGCUAGCUAUUGCCGUGUAAAGCCCCUUCGACGAGUCGAGUUGUUUGGGAAUGCAGCUCUAAAUGGGAGGUAAAUUUCUUCUAAAGCUAAAUAUUGGCCAGAGACCGAUAGCGCACAAGUAGAGUGAUCGAAAGAUGAAAAGCACUUUGGAAAGAGAGUCAAACAGCACGUGAAAUUGUUGAAAGGGAAGCGCUUGCAGCCAGACUUGCUUGCAGUUGCUCAUCCGGGCUUUUGCCCGGUGCACUCUUCUGUAGGCAGGCCAGCAUCAGUUUGGGCGGUGGGAUAAAGGUCUCUGUCACGUACCUCUCUUCGGGGAGGCCUUAUAGGGGAGACGACAUACCACCAGCCUAGACUGAGGUCCGCGCAUCUGCUAGGAUGCUGGCGUAAUGGCUGUAAGCGGCCCGUCUUGAAACACGGACCAAGGAGUCUAACAUCUAUGCGAGUGUUUGGGUGUCAAGCCCGAGCGCGUAAUGAAAGUGAACGGAGGUGGGAACCCGCAAGGGUGCACCAUCGACCGAUCCUGAAGUUUACGGAAGGAUUUGAGUAAGAGCAUGGCUGUUGGGACCCGAAAGAUGGUGAACUAUGCUUGAAUAGGGUGAAGCCAGAGGAAACUCUGGUGGAGGCUCGCAGCGGUUCUGACGUGCAAAUCGAUCGUCAAAUUUGGGCAUAGGGGCGAAAGACUAAUCGAACUAUCUAGUAGCUGGUUCCUGCCGAAGUUUCCCUCAGGAUAGCAGUAACGUAUUCAGUUUUAUGAGGUAAAGCGAAUGAUUAGAGGCAUGGGGGUUGAAACAACCUUCACCUAUUCUCAAACUUUAAAUAUGUAAGAAGCCCUUUGUUACUUAAUUGAACGCGGGCAUUUGAAUGAAACGUUAUUAGUGGGCCAUUUUUGGUAAGCAGAACUGGCGAUGCGGGAUGAACCGAACGAGGGGUUACGGUGCCGGAGUACACGCUCAUCAGACACCACAAAAGGUGUUGGUUCAUCUAGACAGCAGGACGGUGGCCAUGGAAGUCGGAAUCCGCUAAGGAGUGUGUAACAACUCACCUGCCGAAUGAACUAGCCCUGAAAAUGGAUGGCGCUCAAGCGUGUCACCUAUACCCCUCCGCCGGGGCAAAAUUUACGCCCCGGCGAGUAGGCAGGCGUGGAGGCUCGUGACGAAGCCUUGGGGGUGACCCCAGGUCGAACGGCCUCUAGUGCA
rnacentral:rRNA from 1 species